CCCUUAGACGUUCUGGGCCGCACGCGCGCUACACUGACGAAGGCAACGAGCUUUCCUUUACCGAAAGGUACGGGUAAUCUUUUGAAACUUCGUCGUGCUGGGGAUAGAUCCUUGCAAUUUUUGAUCUUAAACGAGGAAUGCCAGUAAGCGCAAGUCAUCAACUUGCGUUGAUUACGUCCCUGCCCUUUGUACACACCGCCCGUCGCUACUACCGAUUGAAUGGUUUAGUGAGGCCUUCGGAUCCGCGACUCGUUUUGUGGAGAAGUUGGACAAACUCAGUCAUUUAGAGGAAGUAAAAGUCGUAACA
rnacentral:rRNA from 1 species